rnacentral:rRNA from 1 species
GGGGAAAAAUUAAUUAAAUAAAAUUAAUAAAAAAAAUUUUUAAGUUAAAAAUAAAUAAUGGGGGUUAAAGUAUUUUUAAUAGAAAAAAUUUUAAAUUUUAUAGGGAAGUAAGUAUUGUAGGGGAAAUUUGAAAUAAAUUAAAUAUUAAUUAUAAAAAAAGAAAAUUUAAUUUAUUGUAUCUUGUGUAUCAGAGUUUAUUAAAUAAUUUUUUUUUAUAAAAAAAUCUCGAAUUUAAAAGAACUAAUUAAUUAUGAAAGUUAAUGUAACAUAAUUAUUUUAAAUAAUUAAUUGGAAAUGAAAUGUUAAUCGUUUUUAAAUAUAUCUAGUUAUUUUAGAAAAAAAUUUAAUUUUAAAUUUAAAUAAUUUUGUAAUUUAAUAAUUAUAAUUAUAAAAAUUUAAAUUUAAUAUUUUAAGGGAUAAGCUUUAAAUUAAAAAUUUAUAAUAAAAUUAAAUAUAAAUUAAAAUUUUUAAAAUUUAUAUUGUUUAAAAAUUAUAAUUUAUUAUAAAAAAUUUUAUUAAAAAUAAAAUUUUAUAAAAAAAAAAUUUAAAUUUUUAUAAAAUAAUAAUUUUUAAUAAAUUAAAAUUAGUAAUAAUGAUAAAAUUAGUAUAAAAUGAUAAAAAAGAAUAAAUUUAAAUUGAAGUUAAUUAAAAGGAAUUCGGCAAAAAAAAUAUUCACUUGUUUAUCAAAAACAUGUCUUUUUGUUUAUAAUUUAAAGUCUAAUCUGCCCACUGAUAAAUAUUAAAGGGCUGCAGUAUAUUGACUGUACAAAGGUAGCAUAAUCAUUAGUUUUUUAAUUGAAAACUUGUAUGAAAGAUUUGAUGAAAUAUAAACUGUCUCUUAAUUAGUAUUAAAAAUUUAUUUUUUAGUUAAAAAGCUAAAAUAAUUUUAAAAGACGAGAAGACCCUAUAGAGUUUUAUAUUUUAUUUAAUAUUAAAGUUUUAUAAAAAUUAAAAUUAAUAUUGAUUAAAAUAUUGUAUUGGGGUGAUAGAAAAAUUAAAGUAACUUUUUUUAAAAAUUAACCAUAAAUAAAUGAAUAAAUGAUCCAUUUAUAGUGAUUACAAGAAAAAAUUACCUUAGGGAUAACAGCGUAAUAUUUUUUUUUAGUCCGAAUAAAAAAAAAAGUUUGCGACCUCGAUGUUGGAUUAAGAUAAAAUUUAAAUGCAAGUGUUUAAAAUUUUGAUCUGUUCGAUCAUUAAAAUCUUACAUGAUCUGAGUUCAAACCGGUGUAAGCCAGGUUGGUUUCUAUCUUUAGAAAAAAAGAAUAUUUUAGUACGAAAGGAUCAAAUAUUUAAAAUAAUUUUAAUAAAAGAAUAUUAUUAAUUAAAUUAUAAAAUUA